rnacentral:rRNA from 1 species
UACGUAGGGGGCAAGCGUUGUCCGGAUUUAUUGGGCGUAAAGAGCGUGUAGGCGGUUAGGUAGGUCCGUUGUGAAAACUCGAGGCUCAACCUCGAGACGCCGAUGGAAACCGUUUGGCUAGAGUCCGGAAGAGGAGAGUGGAAUUCCUGGUGUAGCGGUGAAAUGCGCAGAUAUCAGGAAGAACACCCGUGGCUAAGGCGGCUCUCUAGUACGGUACUGACGCUGAGACGCGAAAGCGUGGGGAGCGAACAGG